ensembl:lncRNA
AUUAUAGAAAAAAGGGAACAUGCUUUGAGGAUUGGAAGAUACAGAUCAUUAUCUUCAAAAAUUAUUUUUCAUGAGUUCUUGGUGGCGAGAAUACUGAAGUGGGUUGCCAUUUCCUCCUCCAGUGGACCACGUUUUGUCAGAACUCUUCAAUAUGACCCAUUUGUCUUGGUGGCCCUGCAUGGCGUGGCUCAUAUUUUCAUUGAGUUAUGCAAGCCCCUUUACCACAACAAGGCUGUGGUCCAUGAAGGGGAUGCAAAAGAAUACUGAAGAAAAAAAAAAAGAAUACUGAAGAAUAAAGGUAUUUAUGAAAAGAAAAUUAUCCAGUCCAUCCUAAAGGAAAUCAGUCCUGAAUAUUCACUGGAAGGACUGAUGCUGAAGCUGAAACUCCAAUACUUUGGCCACCUGAUGUGAAGAACUGACUCAUUUGAAAAGACCCUGAUGCUGGGAAAGAUUGAAGGCAGGAGGAGAAGGGGACGACAGAGGAUGAGAUGGUUGGAUGGCAUCACCGACUCAAUGGACAUGAGUUUGAGUUCUCUGGGAGUUGGCGAUGGACAGGGAGGCCUGGUAUGCUGCAGUCCAUGGGGUCACAAAGAGUCGGACAUGACUGAGCGACUGGACUGAACUGGCCAACAAAAUUGUGGAUCAUAUAUGAUAGUUUUAACUGAAAGCAUCCAUGGGCAAAUUUGCUUUGUUAAAAGACAGCAUGUCAAGCUAAAUUUUAUGAAGCUAAUUAUUUGUUUCUUGAUAGGGAACGUAUGUAGCACAUCUUUUAAAUUGUAAAAGCAAAAUUAUAAGCACUGGUAGAUGUUAUUACAUAAGAAAGAAAACAAGGAAAAGCAUUACAUGUUACAAAUAAUUGUUUUUAACACACAAAAAAGAUAUCUCAUGAACCUUUUCUAGCCAGGUACUUAC